GCAUAUCAAUAAGCGGAGGAAAAGAAACUAACAAGGAUUCCCCUAGUAACGGCGAGUGAAGCGGGAAGAGCUCAAAUUUGAAAUCUGGUAGCCUUCGGCUGCCCGAGUUGUAAUCUAGAGAAGUGUUUUCCGUGCCGGCCCAUGUACAAGUCCCUUGGAACAGGGCGUCAUAGAGGGUGAGAAUCCCGUCCUUGACAUGGACCCCCGGUGCUUUGUGAUACACUUUCAACGAGUCGAGUUGUUUGGGAAUGCAGCUCAAAAUGGGUGGUGAAUUCCAUCUAAAGCUAAAUAUUGGCGAGAGACCGAUAGCGAACAAGUACCGUGAGGGAAAGAUGAAAAGCACUUUGGAAAGAGAGUUAAACAGUACGUGAAAUUGUUGAAAGGGAAACGAUUGAAGUCAGUCAUGCUCUUUGGAUUCAGCCGUUCUGCGGUGUAUUUCCAUUGAGUGGGGUCAACAUCAGUUUUGAUCGCUGGAUAAAGGCACUAGGAAGGUAGCACUCUCGGGUGAACUUAUAGCCUAGCGUCAUAUACAGUGAUUGGGACUGAGGAACGCAGCAUGCCUUUAUGGCCGGGAUUCGUCCACGUACAUGCUUAGGAUGUUGACAUAAUGGCUUUAAACGACCCGUCUUGAAACACGGACC
rnacentral:rRNA from 1 species